AUCAUGUUGAAACACCAGUUCUUGUACAAUCUCUAAAGUUAAGCAACAUUGAGUCUAGUCAGUACCUAGAUGGGUAACUGCUUGGGAACACUAUGUGCUGUAAG